GAGUGAAUUUUUCGGUGGACGGUGAAUUGCUGUCUGAGAAAACAGUGAAGGAUGACUCGGUGAGCGGUUUGACUUAGUGGCAGAUGCUCCAUGAAAAAAGAUGAGACCCUAACCUUUGCAAAUGACAGAAUGAUGGGCUUGCCACUGAGAUAAGAUUCCUCCUUUUUUAUUUUACUUUGUCAUCAUUACGUGUCCCACCCAUGAACAAGACUCCAUUUAUGUUGCCAUCAUUACGUGUCCGACCUCCAAGCAGUUUAUGAUAUCUCUGAUGCUUUCCCACUAUGGGAGUAUGAGUAAGAUAUUUUGCUGUCUGGUUAAGUUUUGAAUGAGCAGGGUAACACCACCAACAACAAAAAUGUUGAGAACGUGCUCGAGUCGGAGGACCCCAUGACCAAGAAAAGCAGAAAAGCAGUGGGGGAACAAAGCAGAAAAAAAAGAAUAAAACCUGAGAAAUUAUGAUUUGAAUGAGCAGGAUCGCAAGUGGUAAGGGACAAACGGUAAAGUGUUAAGUUUAAUGAUUAAUUGGGUGCACAUGCAUGACAGAGACAGAAAGAGAGGCCCAGUACGCAGUAGGUGCAGUAAGCACCAACGAUCUGUAACUGUCGAAACCUUUAUUUUUGAAUGAUGUAAUUUAUUAUCUUUCGAAGACAUCUGUAUAAACCCCAUCAGAGGGUAAUAUGUAUAAACCCCAUCAGAGGGUAAUAUGUAUAAACCCCAUCAGAGGGUAAUAUGUAUAAACCCCAUCAGAGGGUAAAAAAAAAAAAAAAAAAAAAAAAAAAAAAGGCAAAGCCCAAAAUAAAUGGGCUGGCAUGUUGUGGAGGGCGAAGGCCCAUAAGCCCAAAAAAACUCCAACCAGGCGAUCAAAAGUACGCCUAGUACUCCAAAUUAUACAUGAACACUACUCAUGUCAUUCAUACAUAAACAUUCAUGAGCAUCACUCAUGUCAAUCAUACAUAAACAUUCAUGAGCAUCACUCAUCCAAUCAUACAUAAACAUUCAUGAGCAUCACUCAUGUCAACAUUCAUGAGCAUCACUCAUGUCAACAUCCAUGAGCAUCACUCAUGUCAAUCAACAUAAACAUCCAUAAGCAUCACUCAUGUCAACAUCCAUGAGCAUCACUCAUGUCAAUCAACAUAAACAUGCAUGAGCAUCACUCAUGUCAAAUCAGCUUCAAAGACUUCAUUUACAGAGCUCUAGCUUCAAAAGCUUCAUUUACAAUAGCUCUAGCUUCAAAAGCUUCAUUUACAGAGCUCUAGCUUCAAAAGACUUCAUUUACAGAGCUCUAGCAUCAAAAGCUUCAUUUACAAAAGCUCUAGCUUCAAAAGCUUCAUUUACAAGAGCUCUAGCUUCCAAAGCUUCAUUUACAGAGCUCUAGCUUCAAAAGACUUCAUUUACAGAGCUCUAGCAUCAAAAGCUUCAUUUACAAAAGCUCUAGCUUCAAAAGCUUCAUUUACAAGAGCUCUAGCUUCAAAAGCUUCAUUUAUAAAAGCUCCAGUUUCGAAAGCUUCAUUUACAGAGCUCUAGCUUCAAAGCUUCACUUGCAAAGCUUCACCUACAAAGCUUCAGUGCAGGGUAUACAAAUACCGCCUCCGAACAACCACCACUUCGGCCCAUACAUGGAUUCAAUUUGAAGUCUCCAGCCAACAGACUAUAUUGACCGAAGACUUGGGGGACUACAUUAUGUACCAUAUAUUGGGCCUCAACU
rnacentral:lncRNA from 1 species